rnacentral:sRNA from 1 species
AUCAGCAUCACCACCAUUACAACAACCAUCAUCAUUACCACAGGAAAUGAUGCGGGCUGACGCGUACAGGAAAAACAGAAAAAAGCCCGCACCCAAACAGUGCGGGCUUUUUUUU